UACGUAGGGGGGCGAGCGUUGUCCGGAUUUAUUGGGCGUAAAGAGCUCGUAGGCGGUUCGAUAAGUCGGACGUGAAAUCUCCACGCUCAACGUGGAGGGGCCGUUCGAUACUGUCGUGACUCGAGUCCGGAAGAGGCGAGUGGAAUUCCCGGUGUAGCGGUGAAAUGCGCAGAUAUCGGGAGGAACACCAAUGGCGAAGGCAGCUCGCUGGGACGUGACUGACGCUGAGACGCGAAAGCGUGGGGAGCAAACAGGAUUAGAAACCCUG
rnacentral:rRNA from 1 species